rnacentral:tRNA from 1 species
GUCGGCGUAGCUCAGACGGUUAGAGCGUGGCACUCAUAAAGCCAAGGUCGGUGGUUCGAUUCCACCCGUCGACA